UUUCAAGGAGAUGCUCUGUCUUCUGUUCCAUGUUCUCAAAAUCCAUAAGGCAUUGUGAACACCUAAAAAGAAACAAGUUCCACAAUUACAGGCAGUAGUACUUCCUAGUUUGCUUCCUUAUUUAGGGAUCUUAUAUCAUUUCCAUGAGAUUCAAAAAGCUGGCAGCCAUGCUGGGCAUAUGGGUUUUAGCUAUGAUUGUGUGGGGUGUAAUCUGAAAACCAGCAAUAAAGCCGAUCUCUACUGUCAAAGUUUUCCAUAUCUAGGUCAACUUUGUCCAUUAUUAUGGGAAAUACUACUAGGUAAUCCCUUGGUGUAUUGUACAUAUUUCUGAGGAGACAUGCUGGUCAGCUUCUUCUUUGUUAGGAUGUACUGUACCACAGUAGCUACACUGGUAUUUUAAGGUUUCUACAAAUACGAAUGUUAUUUCAAUUAAACUGCUCGAUAUAUAACCAAAGAAAAAACRACUGAUAACAACUGUGAAUAAAUGAUUGGAUUGAUUAUAAACGAUUGAUUCAGUUAUAAUGUGAAUAUCUAGUAAAUGAUUGGGUGAUGAACUA